UUGUGUCUCGCAGCAGCCUCUGAUGA
rnacentral:piRNA from 1 species